rnacentral:rRNA from 1 species
UACGAAGGGUGCAAGCGUUACUCGGAAUUACUGGGCGUAAAGCGUGCGUAGGUGGUUUGUUAAGUCUGUUGUGAAAGCCCCGGGCUCAACCCUGGGAAUGGCAAUGGAUACUGGCAAGCUAGAGUGCGGGUAGAGGGUAGUGGAAUUCCCGGUGUAGCGGUGAAAUGCGUAGAGAUCGGGAGGAACACCAGUGGCGAAGGCGGCUACCUGGACCGAGCACU